rnacentral:rRNA from 1 species
AUUGAACGCUGGCGGCAGGCUUAACACAUGCAAGUCGCACGAGUGGCGGACGGGUGAGUAAUGCUUGGGAAUCUAGCUUAUGGAGGGGGAUAACUACUGGAAACUGUAGCUAAUACCGCGUACCAUCGGAUGAGGCCCAGUGGGAUUAGGUAGUUGGUGAGGUAAAGGCUCACCACGUGGACGAUCUCUAGCUGGUUUGAGAGGAUGACCAGCGCCAAGGGUGCUGAGCCACGGCCCAGACUCCUACGGGAGGCAGCAGUGGGGAGAAUUGCGCAAUGGGGGCAACCUGACGAAGCCAUGCAGAGUGAAGUAAGAAGGCCUGCGGGUUGUAAAGUUCUUUCGGUAGCGAGGCGUUAACUACAGAAGAGGUAACGGCUAACUCCGUGCCAGCAGCGGCGGUAAUUC